AGCUGGAGCCCGCGGAGCCCACGGAGGAUCCCCAGCGUCCGAACGGGCAGACCCCCCGAGCCGCGAAGGAGCCCGAGAAGCAGCCACGAUGUGCGGAAUCUUUGCCUACAUGAACUACAGAGUCCCCCGGACGAGGAAGGAGAUCUUCGAAACCCUCAUCAAGGGCCUGCAGCGGCUGGAGUACAGAGGCUACGACUCGGCAGGUGUGGCGAUCGAUGGGAAUAAUCACGAAGUCAAAGAAAGACACAUUCAGCUGGUCAAGAAAAGGGGGAAAGUCAAGGCUCUCGAUGAAGAACUUUACAAACAAGACAGCAUGGACUUAAAAGUGGAGUUUGAGACACACUUCGGCAUUGCCCACACGCGCUGGGCCACCCACGGGGUCCCCAGUGCUGUCAACAGCCACCCCCAGCGCUCAGACAAAGGCAACGAAUUUGUUGUCAUCCACAAUGGGAUCAUCACAAAUUACAAAGAUCUGAGGAAAUUUCUGGUAAGAUGCUUCCCCUAGGUGAUGUCUCAGUCCGGUGGGAUUGGUCUCCCCAGAAACUUUCCAGCCAGCUCAUUUCCUUGCGG
rnacentral:sRNA from 1 species